UGUGGAAGCUUCGGGUCGGCGGGUAAAUGUUGGUGGUGCAGGUUCCAGGACAGGGGAAAGGAAUCCAUCUCCAUCGCAAGAUUGAGCGGGCAUCCGGGCGCAGACAUGCAAGAAAACGCAAGCACAAAAGGGGCCUUUCUGAAUGCGGCCACAGGGAACCGCAACUCUGGCGGCAAUCGCCGUUCUUACCAGGAUAAAGAUAAGCCCGCCCAGAUCCGCUUCAGCAACAUUUCUGCGGGGAAAGAGUGCCAAUUUCAGAUGGUGGAGCACCAGAAAUUGAGUUGACUUGAAUGAAUAUUCUCGUGUUUUAAGUGGCAUGGAAUUUUACUGUGUUCGUGCUUAUGGAGAGGCUCUGGAAAUCCACCCUGGCUGAAAAUGCGGGCCUUAAUCCGAUAUCCACUGUUACAGAACUGAGAAACAGACAUGCACAAGGAGAGAAAACUGCUGGCAUUAAUGUCAGAAAGGAUCAACUAUCAACAGUUAAGAAACCAGCAGUCAACAAAUACACCACAGAUGAGCACUUGGUAUGGCAGCCAUGAAGACCUUGGAAAAGAUAUUAAGUUGCUCUGAUGUGUCUAUAUCAGAAUCAUGCAGUAAUUGUGAUGUUCUUGUGAUGUUCUAUGAAAAUGAGAGCUGGAUUUUUGGAGAAGCCAGUUAUCAAAAAUAUUAACAGUUUGGAACUGUAAUAAUAAAAUAAAAUAAAAUAAAAGCCCGUGCAGUAGACAUAUUUUGCACUCUCCAGUAUAUGAUGGAAUAGGUCACUUUCUUUGCCUAUGAAUGCUGGGGCCCCCUCUAGU